AUUGAACGCUGGCGGCAUGCUUUACACAUGCAAGUCGAACGGUAACAGGUCUUCGGAUGCUGACGAGUGGCGAACGGGUGAGUAAUGCAUCGGAACGUGCCCAGUCGUGGGGGAUAACGCAGCGAAAGCUGUGCUAAUACCGCAUACGAUCUAUGGAUGAAAGCGGGGGACCUUAGGGCCUCGCGCGAUUGGAGCGGCCGAUAUCAGAUUAGGUAGUUGGUGAGGUAAAGGCUCACCAAGCCGACGAUCUGUAGCUGGUCUGAGAGGACGACCAGCCACACUGGAACUGAGACACGGUCCAGACUCCUACGGGAGGCAGCAGUGGGGAAUUUUGGACAAUGGGCGCAAGCCUGAUCCAGCAAUGCCGCGUGCAGGAAGAAGGCCUUCGGGUUGUAAACUGCUUUGUACGGAACGAAACGGUCCUGGUUAAUACCGGGCGUAACUGACGGUACCGUAAGAAUAAG
rnacentral:rRNA from 1 species